rnacentral:lncRNA from 1 species
GCACAUUAAAACUUUACAUUAUUAUUUUAUUACUGUUAAAUUGUAAUAAUUUUCUGACUGUAAUAUGUAUUUAAGCAAAUAGCUAAAACAUCUUCGUUAAUCGUACAAAAUUGCUUCGCGGGCCGCCAGUUUUGAUGUUGCACAUAACAGUCUUUAGUCUACAACGCAGUAUUUAGUCUAUCAACACAAAAAUAUCAGCAUAUUCCAAUAUUUUUCAAUGUAUGCAGCAGGAGAGAAGUAAUUCUUGCAUCUACAGUGAUACACAGAUUUCCAUAGAUGCUGCUGUUCUAUCUGGAUCCCAACACCAUAGGAAGGCCAAUAUUCUCCAACCACCCAGAUGAAAAUUCCAAGACCACUGACUAUCCGAUCUUUAUCCUCCUUCUUCAAAAAUGUCUAUUAUUAUUAUGUUGUUGUUUAUCAUAUGAGCACAAAAUAAUUCCGGAGAAAAGUGUUAUGUCAGACAAGAGUCAAGAUAGCUACUUGUG